UCAAAGCUGGUGUCAUACAAAGUGUA
rnacentral:piRNA from 1 species